CAGAGACAUACAUCCAUAUACUGCUAUGGGUGGUGCAGCUUGAAAAGUAAAAAAAAUAAAAUGUGGUAAUUGGUGAUUAUGCUAUGUCCUGAGUGCAAGACUUAAUCUGGAAGCUGUUUCAGUGUAAGAUGAAGCUGCUGCUUCUGAUCGCAGCCAUCUUGGCAAUAACAGUUGGUUUCCCGGUCACUCCAGGCCAGGAAAGAGAACCACGAAGUCAGCUCAGUGGGAGCAAUGAAUCGCCUUCGCAGUUUUAUGUGCCUCCUUACCCAUACCCACCAUUUGGCCCAUAUCCACCAUUCCCCCCUGGACGGUACCCAUGGUUUAGAUAUUGCUUCUUUCCUCCUCUGUUACCUCUGCCUGGCCCCACACCUAUCAAUGAACAGUAAACAAGAAAGUCCUGGUGCAAUGUCAGAUGCAAUAGGUGGUCACUAAAAUGGAAUGCAAGCCACUUCUUUGAAGAAUUAAUAAUCCUGUUAAUCAAAGAAAAAUAAAUAUGAUUAAAGUUACAUACA